rnacentral:rRNA from 1 species
GAUGAACGCUGGCGGCGUGCCUAAUACAUGCAAGUCGAGCGAACAGAUAAGGAGCUUGCUCCUUUGACGUUAGCGGCGGACGGGUGAGUAACACGUGGAUAACCUACCUAUAAGACUGGGAUAACUUCGGGAAACCGGAGCUAAUACCGGAUAACAUAUUGAACCGCAUGGUUCAAUAGUGAAAGGCGGCUUUGCUGUCGCUUAUAGAUGGAUCCGCGCCGUAUUAGCUAGUUGGUAAGGUAACGGCUUACCAAGGCAACGAUACGUAGCCGACCUGAGAGGGUGAUCGGCCACACUGGAACUGAGACACGGUCCAGACUCCUACGGGAGGCAGCAGUAGGGAAUCUUCCGCAAUGGGCGAAAGCCUGACGGAGCAACGCCGCGUGAGUGAUGAAGGUCUUCGGAUCGUAAAACUCUGUUAUCAGGGAAGAACAAAUGUGUAAGUAACUGUGCACAUCUUGACGGUACCUGAUCAGAAGGCCACGGCUAACUACGUG